CAGAUAUACUUCAAAAUCAUAGCACAAAUUGGGCAUAACUAACUCCCAAAAUUGGAAUCCAAAAUGCUCCAAAAUCUGGAUUUUGGAGUGGCUACAGUUUGGAUAUGAUUUUAGUAUGUCUCCCCACGUUUCAGGUGAUGUGAAUCUGGUCUUCACUUUGGCAAUACUAGGAGGUGGUGGAAUCUUUAACAUACGGGCCUAGUGGUAGGCAGUUACUUCAUCCCCUUGAGGGGAUGAAGGUAGCUCCUGAAGGGCCCUGGUCAGUUCCCAGGGCAGCCGUUGCUAUAAACAGAGAAGCCUGGCUCCCAGACCCCUCUACUUCCGGCGCCACAGUGAGCCCUCGGUCUCACGCAUGCUCUCACCGCGACAGCCUUCACCGUGCUGCGAUCCAGCCAGAGCCCUCGGCAGAGUCAAGGAAGAAGCUCCGGGACUGUGAGCUACAGAAACCCCAUUGCUUCGUAUCCACCAUCCAGUUUAAUAGCGACCGAAAAUGCAUUGACGCAGAUUGCGGUUUUCAACAUUUCAGAUUAGAUGCUGUCUUCGGUUUUGUUUCGAGGGAGGAGGAUGAGCCAGGCUCACAGAACCCAUCAGUGAAUUCCUUUCACAGCCAAGCUCAUCAGGAUUUCUGGUGAUUGUGCAUUGUGAUAUCUGCAAAUGAGUGAUAUAUAUUCUGCAGGCCCCUCUCCCAGCACGUCUGUAAAAUACAUAUUAAAAAGCUGUGUCUUUGGUUAGCUUCUGAGCAAUAAGGAUGUGAGUCCUCUUCAAAAGGUUCCUUCUGCCUAAAGCUGACCUGCUAGGAUGGAGUGGGUGGGGGAGGUGGCAAGAGCCAGCAGGAAUGGGGGAGCUGGAGAGGGAAGACAGGGGUGGGGGCAGGCGUGGCUGGUGUUUUUUAUACUCUUUGCCUUACAAAAGGAUUAAUCACAGGGUUCCUUUUAAACAGAAAGUUUCGUGCAUUUUAAAAGAGGAUUUGAUUUAUCAGAAACUUGUGAGCAACACAGCUGCUGGGCAAAGCAAGCUCUUUACGCUGACUUGAAAUCCAUUUUCCGAGCCAGGAGUCUGGGGUGUCAGAGGGAGUGAUGAAACUCCUUUAGUUUUUAAUUGACGAGAGCGAUAUUGACUCGCACGGUUAGGAGCCCAGGUAUUGGGCCAGGGCCAGUGUGUUUCUGCAGUACCUACGCGUGAAUGUGCUGAGUGCUUGAGUAUUGAUUCAUUUAUGUACUUGUUCGGCUGUUGCUGUGAAGGGCUUUGUACUUUCUGCUCUGGAGCCAAGCUGCCUUUCACAGCCGCCUGCGUUAGAAUGUACCAGGUUGUUCAGCAUGAAUCAUCCCGCGCGAUAGCCUCCAGGGAGAGGGGGCUCGGCCCAGCGCAUCACUGCUGGGAGCAAACCCAGAGACAUCGAGGGAGGGGCAGAGGGCAGGGGUAAGGAGGUUCCGCGGAUGAGAAGGAGCUGCGAUCUUGGCCUUGAAAACAAACCUCACUGCUUCCCUAAAGCCCCUUCCCUCUUGUACUCAGAAUGCUCACCGUGAGCUCGCUCCCAAUGUCCCACAUUGUGGCGUGUUUAUUAUCACCUCCGUCUUGCAGAAAUUCCCCGGGAGCCCCUGGGUCCCUGCUCCCUGCCGCAGUGGCACAAAA
ensembl:lncRNA